AAUGGAUUGUCCCGACGCGGAGCACCUCGGGAGCUGAGCAGAGAGGGGCGGUCUCUUUCCUCGUGGCGCGGUUGUAGGUGGCCGUUGAGACGCAAGCAGAGUCCGUGCAAAGUUUUGGAUGGCAGAUGUUAUGUCUCAGAAUAUAGCAGCACAGUGGAAGGUAGCUAGGCAUGUCUUCCGAGGACUUUGGAAGAUGCAAGGGCCCUUGUAGACAAGUCGACCAUAUUCUGUCCUGUGUCGAUCUGCUGUUUAGAGAGAUGGACUGCUGCCUCCUGGAUGACUUUGGCUAAGGCUUUUUGAUCCUGGGUGAAUCACACAAGGGAUACAAGAGGCCCAGAGAUGAAGAGUUCACUACAAUCAAUCCUCUCCGAUUGGUGGUGAAAGAGAAACUGAGGGUUGGGAUGUCUCCUUUCCCAGAGUGCAGGCUGUUUGUGUAGGAAACAGCUGUGCAGAGCUCCUCAGCCCAGUCAGCUCUUAAAGUACAUAGCCCAAGAAGAGCAAAAUACAUUAAUUGCUUCUGUGGUGGGAAGCCCUGGGCACCUGAAGGAAGACGGCCAAAGGCUGUAUGCUGAGAAAAAGCUGGAACUUCAGCAGCAGUUUAAACACAAACAAUCAGGGAUGUGAAGCCCUUUGCAGAAUCCCACAGAAUACAGACAAAAAUCAGCAUAUGAAAAAUCAGUGGGAGCGAUGUUUUAACGUAAUGCAAACAAAUUAGUUUUACUGAUGGUAUUUGGACCCAGGUGCUAGUAGUCACAUGUCUAACAUUAGAGAUUUCAUCCUGUAAUUAAAUUGAAAGUGUGGAUUUUCCUAGCCAAUAGGCAAGUAAGGUGGGUUUUAGGAGCGAAUUCCCCCCCCCCCCCCGGGAAAGAGAGUACAAAAAGUGCCUGCAGCAGUUUUGCUGGGCUACUGUGGCAAGUUCUUAGGACAGUUGGGACAGAGGAUCAUGGGUGCCAGGCUCUCUUCCCUCCUAGACACUGGGCGCCCAUCUCAAGCGAGAGGUUAAUCAGGUGCUUUGUAGUAAUCCUUGAAGUGUCAGAUAGUGGCAACUGCUUUUAUUUUCUUUUGUACAGCUGCAAACCUUUGAUGCAAAAUCUGUUUUCCCUAACUUGUGUGCUGUUUAUAACCUGUAGUUUUAGUAGUUCAAUAAAGACCUUUCUUGAUUAAGAAAA